GAAAAGAAACCAACAGGGAUUGCCCCAGUAACGGCGAGUGAAGCGGCAACAGCUCAAAUUUGAAAUCUGGCUUCGGCCCGAGUUGUAAUUUGCAGAGGAUGUAUUUGGCGCGGUGCCUUCCGAGUUCCCUGGAACGGGACGCCAUAGAGGGUGAGAGCCCCGUCUGGUUGGACACCAAGCCUAUGUAAUACUCCUUCGACGAGUCGAGUAGUUUGGGAAUGCUGCUCUAAAUGGGAGGUAAAUCUCUUCUAAAGCUAAAUACCGGCCAGAGACCGAUAGCGCACAAGUAGAGUGAUCGAAAGAUGAAAAGCACCUUGAAAAGGGGGUUAAACAGUACGUGAAAUUGUUGAAAGGGAAGCGUUUAUGACCAGACUUGUGCCGUGUGGCUCAUCCGGGGUUCUCCCCGGUGCACUCCAUACGGUUCAGGCCAACAUCGGUUCUCGUUGGGGGAUAAGAACAGUAGGAACGUGGCCCUCUUCGGAGGGUGUUAUAGCCUAUUGUACGAUACUCUGAUGGGGACCGAGGACCGCGCUUCGGCUAGGAUGUUGGCGUAAUGGUCAUUAGCGACCCGUCUU
rnacentral:rRNA from 1 species